rnacentral:piRNA from 1 species
UAGCUUUAUUGUGUGUGGCGCCCC